UACGGAGGGUGCAAGCGUUUAUCCGGAUUCACUGGGUUUAAAGGGUGCGUAGGUGGGCAGGUAAGUCCGUGGUGAAAUCUCUGAGCUUAACUCAGAAACUGCCGUGGAUACUAUUUGUCUUGAAUAUUGUGGAGGUGAGCGGAAUAUGUCAUGUAGCGGUGAAAUGCUUAGAUAUGACAUAGAACACCAAUUGCGAAGGCAGCUCACUACACAAUUAUUGACGCUGAGGCACGAAAGCGUGGGGAUCAAACAGG
rnacentral:rRNA from 1 species